CUGGGCCUCUAAAAUAGCGUUACCUGAGUCAGGUAGAGAAGUAAAGUCAGUCUGAAGAAAGUUUCUAUUUUGUUCCAUUGGUAACAUCACUCUUUUGUAUUCAGUUUCUGUUUGCAUCUCUUUGUGUGAGAAGAUUUUGGGCUGUUCUCUAACUAAUUUCAUCAUUUGAUUUUCGCUUCUGCAUUGACCUACAGAAGGUGUGGACUAAAACACCAGCAAGGUGAGUGAGACUGCUGCUGGAGCCCUACUGUAUCUGCAAGAACAUUCUGUGCAUUCUAUCCUUCAUUCCACCGGAGUCUGUGCCUUUAUCCAAACAGAUUUCAGUGAAGUGAAGUGUAAGAGACAUGGAACUCGAACCUCACAACCUAACUGAGCAAUUGAGUCAAUUUCCAAAGUGCUGCUGCAAGAAAAGUAAUAAGUAAUAAGUCUAAUCAUUUACACCUAACAAUAUCAAUGGAAAACAUGGAUUGUGUAUUAUUGAUCGUGCUCUGGGAGGAAUGUCAUUGCACUUUACAACAACUGCUGAUGUAAAAGGGGCUUUAUAAAUGCAUUUGGUUGAUUGAUUGCUAAUUUAAUGUUCAUCAUAAAUGUAAAUGUUUUGCAAUCGGAUUAAAAUUCUUAUUCCAUAUCUUUGUUUGCUGAAUGGCCUAAAUAUAUUUAGUCUCUGAUCCUGUCCUUUUUGCAAGAGCUACUCAAAUACUAAACAUUUCCACAAAUUUACAUUCAGCGAAUUACAGCACCCACGCACUUUGGUGUAACACACCAGAUCUCAAUGCCACAACAUGUUUUUUCAUCAGCUGAUGUGGACCAUCUGAGACCAGCCCACACACAAACACACAAUGCUAAAGUUCAGCCAAUGAAGUUGAGCUGAGAGGCCUCAGAGUUACUGCCUAAUUCUAUUAUCUAUUCAGUAUGUGCUACCCAGACUAACUUUCCUGCAAAACAAUGAUUACAAAUGUAUCGCUACUUGAGAUGCAUCUCUGUUGAAUGCCAACUGGCACCCUGAUUUCUGCAUAGUGCACUACUUUUGACAGUAGCCCUAUGGGCCCUGGUCAAAAGAAGUCCACUAUAAGGGAGAGUGGGGUAAGCUGAGAAAUGUUUUUUUCUGUCAAGGGAAAUAUAUUAUUCUUUCUAACAAACAUUACAGUUUUGAAAACAUAGCUUGUCCAAAAAAGUGGUCUCUUGGCACAACUUUCCCUGGUACAGGGUCAGAGUUAAGCCGCCUAAAAAUGUCUGUACUGAAUAUAAUAUUACCACUACCUUGUUAAAACCAUGUCAAUCUUU
rnacentral:lncRNA from 1 species